GGUUAUGUAGGUAUAUGAGAAGAGGCCCAAGUUGAACUCUUUUAAAUCAGUAGAUUAACCUACUCUUAUUAGUGCAAUUGUGCAAAUUGGAUUAUUAAAGUAGAUUAGCUGCUCAAGCAACACGUGGCUCUACACUCAUUACUCAGCUGUUUUCCAAACCGACUUAGAGAUAGUAUAAGUAUUUUCCUUCUCACGAUCAGCCAUUUUUUUUUACCCUGCAACUCGGUCCAGUUCACCAAUCGUCCCCAAUAAUCUUACACGGCAGUUCAAUUCACCUUCGUCAAGCAGGUUAAGCUGUGAUGCAGAUGGAUGUCAGCAGAGCAAAGCUUUUGAUAUAUAAGUACUAAAUUAGGCUCAGGAUUCCAUGUCUUCAUACAUGUAAUCCACUUAAGCUAUUCCGCUGCAACGCUUAGUGCGUUUUACUUUAUUGAUGUGUUGCAAAGAUUUCAAACUAAUAGCUUACAGAAUUAUGUCACUCGAUACUUAGACAACUUGUCGUUGUGUAUUGCGAGUUGUUUGCUUUUGAGUUUUAGAAAAGAUUGUUUAUGAUUACCAAAUAUUUUGGUAAAUUAUUGUUGAAGCAGAUUAGUGAUUUUUAUUGA